CCCCUAGAUGUUCUGGGCCGCACGCGCGCUACACUGAACAGUUCAACAAGUCUUAACCUUGGCCGAUAGGUCUGGGUAAUCUUUGAACGCUGUUCGUGAUUGGGAUAGACCUUUGCAAUUAUGGGUCUUCAACGAGGAAUUCCUAGUAAACGCAAGUCAUCAGCUUGCAUUGAUUACGUCCCUGCCCUUUGUACACACCGCCCGUCGCACCUAACGAUUGAAUGGUCCGGUGAAAUCUCGGGACGGCGGCUUGGUCGCUUGCGUCCGACUGCUGAAACUUGAUUAAACCAUAUCAUUUAGAGGAAGGUGAAGUCGUAACA
rnacentral:rRNA from 1 species